UUGGCUUAGAAGCAGCCAUCCUUUAAAGAAAGCGUAACAGCUCACUGGUCUAAUUAAGACGUCCUGCGCCGAAAAUGUAACGGGGCUAAAGUCAUACACCGAAGAUGCGGGCGCAAUUUAUUGCGCGGUAGCGGAGCGUUCUGUAAGCCUGCGAAGGGAGCACGCGAGUGUUUCUGGAGGUAUCAGAAGUGAGAAUGCUGACAUGAGUAACGACAAGGAGGGUGAGAAACCCUCCCGCCGAAAGUCCAAGGGUUCCUGCGCAAUGUUAAUCAGCGCAGGGUUAGUCGGCCCCUAAGGCGAGGGCGAAAGCCGUAGUCGAUGGGAAGCAGGUUAAUAUUCCUGCACUAGUGGGUAGUGACGAAUUGCGUAAGUUGUUCCUCCUUAUUGGAUUGGAGGGGCCGCGAAGCAGUUCCAGGAAAUAGCUCCCACAUUAUAACCGUACCCGAAACCGACACAGGUGGACUGGUAGAGUAUACCAAGGCGCUUGAGAGAACGAUGUUGAAGGAACUCGGCAAAUUGCCCCCGUAACUUCGGGAGAAGGGGGACCUCCAUUUAGGCAACUAGAUGGGGGUGGCACAGACCAGGGGGUGGCGACUGUUUAUUAAAAACACAGGGCUCUGCGAAGUAGAUAAUACGACGUAUAGGGUCUGACGCCUGCCCGGUGCCGGAAGGUUAAGAGGAGAGGUGCAAGCUUUGAAUCGAAGCCCCGGUAAACGGCGGCCGUAACAAUAACGGUCCUAAGGUAGCGA
rnacentral:rRNA from 13 species